rnacentral:hammerhead_ribozyme from 1 species
GCACUGCUCAGGAGUCUCACAAUAGGGCGAAACGGCCGUCCAGUGC